GAACUGUUCGACCUACUGUCGUCAGAAGUACGGCCAGAAGAUUGGUCUGUACUCGAAGUGCAACAAUGGAGCGUGCUACUGCGGAUGGGAGAAAGAAUGCGUGCUGGCGGAUUGUGUGAACUACUGUAAAAGCAAGCAUCCCGAAAAGCCAAAUCUCGAAGCGUUCUGCAAAGGCCACUUCUGCAACUGCAAGUGGCGAUUCUUGUAUCAGGGUCCGUAGGCAACCGAGAGGGCACGCCUCAAGUCAAUCUCCAGCGGGACUACAUGCAAGAAGGCCUCCAAUUCAAAGGUCAUGGAUCGGCCACAGGUGUUCCUCAGGAUGUGUCAAUGGAAAUGCCACCGAAAAAAGGAGGCCCUACGUAAAGGUUUGCAAUACGA
rnacentral:lncRNA from 1 species